GAUGAACGCUGGCGGCGUGCUUAACACAUGCAAGUCGAACGGAAAGGCUCCUGCUUGCAGGGGUACUCGAGUGGCGAACGGGGGAGUAACACGUGGGUGAUCUGCCCUGCACUUCGGGAUAAGCCUGGGAAACUGGGUCUAAUACCGGAUAGGACGAUGGUUUGGAUGCCAUUGUGGAAAGCUUUUUCGGUGUGGGAUGAGCUCGCGGCCUAUCCGCUUGUUGGUGGGGUAGUGGCCUACCAAGGCGUCGACGGGUAGCCGGCCUGAGAGGGUGUACGGCCACAUUGGGACUGAGAUACGGCCCAGACGCCUACGGGAGGCAGCAGUGGGGAAUAUUGCACAAUGGGAGCGAGCCUGAUGCAGCGACGCCGGGUGGGUGAUGACGGCCUUCGGGUUGUAAACUCCUUUCGCUAGGGACGAAGCGCAAGUGACGGUACCUGGAGAAGAAGCACCGGCUAACUACGUG
rnacentral:rRNA from 1 species